rnacentral:rRNA from 1 species
GACAGAGGAGCCAAGCGUUGUCCGGACUGACUGGGCGUAAAGCGCACGCAGGCGGCGCUGCGCGUGGGGUGUGAAAGCUCUUGGCUUAACUGAGAGAGGCCAUCCCAUACGGCAGUGCUCGAGCGGCGCAGAGGUCCGCGGAAUUGCCGGUGUAGUGGUGAAAUGCGUAGAUAUCAGGAGGAACACCGGUGGUGUAGGCGGCCUGCUGGACCAUAACUGACGCUGAGGCACGAAAGCGUGGGGAGCAAACAGG